CCCCUCUCAGGGUUGCGCCUGAAGAGUUUCCAGUACUCUACCAGUCUCAGCUACGGAAGGGAGAGCCAAGCAGAAGCCUGUCCAUUCCAUUCCUAGCUUGGGCAGUGGCUAGCCAGUGGAAGGCAAUCUGCUUACAAGU